ACUAAUACGACAACGUAGGCUUAUGGUAUUUUAGUUGCGACAAUGGCAGUAUCAUCCUCACAGGUUUAUAUAAAAAUCUUUACUUGAAAGGGUCCAGUUUAAGAAAUUAAUUCUACUAUCUACUAAUUUGUGAGAAACUCAUUUCAAACUUAUUGUUUUACUAAUCUUAUUAAA